UGGGGGAUAUUGCACAAUGGGCGAAAGCCUGAUGCAGCGACGCUGCGUGGGGGAUGAAGGCCUUCGGGCUGUAAACUUCUUUUGCUCUGAACAAGGCAUGCCAAUGGGUGUGUCGAGUGUAGGGGUUGAUUAGCGCCGGCUAACUACGUGCCAGCAGCCGCGGUAACACGUAGGGCGCGAGCGUUGUCCGGAAUUAUUGGGGGUAAAGGGCUUGUAGGUGGCUGGUUGCGUCUGUCGUGAAAGCUCAUGGCUUAACUGUGGGUUUGCGGUGGGUACGGGCUGGCUUGAGUGCAGUAGGAGAGGCUGGAAUUCCUAGUGUAGCGGUGGAAUGCGCAGAUAUCAGGAGGAAUACCGGUGGCGAAGGAGGGUCUCUGGGCUGUUACUGACACUGAGGAGCGAAAGCAUGGGGAGCGAACGGG
rnacentral:rRNA from 1 species